GCGUGGUUCAGGAACUGUGGUGAAGUCCUCAGCUCCAGUCAGCCAUGAAUUGACACAAAAAAACAGGUUCACAGGCCGGAAAUCUACAGAAGAUUCUCCAGCCUCUUCAGCCCCCAGACACUGGAAUGACAUGGGAGAGGCUCUGGAGGACUUAGGGAGAAGAGAAUGUCUCCCGCGUCUCAAUCGGUCCCUAAAUCCCGCCUUUCAAUUGAGGACGAACCAAUCAGGAGCUAACCUGGUGGUUGCUAAGAGACAGGAGGUGGGAGAUUUAGAGGCCUUGUCGUGGCACCCACCCAGGAAAAUUCCCUAAGCCUUUUGCACCCUCCUGCCUAAGCUAUUCUAACUCAUCUCUGCACCUCUCCCGCACUCGCCUACUAUUCCCAAGCCCAGAGAGUCAAGCAGAAACAUUUUAGUAAAGAAACCAGGUAUAGCAUAUCUUUGGAAAAUGGUAAGAUGGUAAUUGGGUUCAAACUGAUAGAACGUAUCUGCUCAAGUUUCCCCAGCCUUUAGUUGGGUUAGAGGUAGGAACUAACUGUUUUGUAGCCUCUUGGGUAGAGGGUGAAUUUGCUCUUGGUGGUAAAAGCUGUGCCCCUGAUGAGGAGGGGUUUCUGUCCUUCCAGCCAUCUAAACUUGGGUAGGUAGAGACUGAGAAAAAUCUCAAAGGUCAUGAUUAAGCAGCCAGAGAAUCAGGGGUUGGGAAAAAGGUGCCCAGGGGAUUGGGGUAUUGUGUGGAAGGUGGAAGGAAAGAUGUAUGUGGGAAAUAAAGGUUUAUUUCAAAAGCUGAGAUUCUGAAAGGGAAAUUCGGGGAAUUCCAAGCAGAAGAUGAAUCAAAUCAGGGCCUCCCCCUUCAAGUUUCUCCACCCUUCACAACUUCUUGAUCUUUUCUUCCCUCCACACAUCCUACACAGAAAAGACUAGGCUUAAAAACCAGGGUAAAGAAAACUCAUUUGGGUAAGGAGUGAGUCAUAAAUCCCGAUUCUAUAUCCUGUGAACAGGGAUGAGUGCAGAAUUGAGUGGGGGUUUGGGUCCUGAGAAAAGUCAGUGCACACGCACAGGUGUGCGCAGUUCAGGUGCUGACAGAGAUGCAAGCUCAUGGGUGGACAUAUGUUUUUACAUGCAUACAUCUAACAUAAAGGUAGAUUCUAACAGAUCGAGAAACAGAUGU
rnacentral:lncRNA from 1 species